rnacentral:rRNA from 1 species
AUGUAAAUUCCUACAAAAUAGUGUUAAGUCACUAGAUCCCAUUAGAGUUUAGCAGUUAAGCGCACUCAUGAUAGAUUAGUACUAGGAUGGGUGACCACCCGAGAAGUCCUAGUGUUUUACAUU